rnacentral:rRNA from 1 species
GACGAACGCUGGCGGCGUGCUUAACACAUGCAAGUCGAACGGCAAGGCCCUGCUUUUGUGGGGUGCUCGAGUGGCGAACGGGUGCGUAACACGUGAGUAACCUGCCCUUGACUUUGGGAUAACUUCAGGAAACUGGGGCUAAUACCGGAUAGGAGCUCCUGCUGCAUGGUGGGGGUUGGAACGUUUCGGCGGUUGGGGAUGGACUCGCGGCUUAUCAGCUUGUUGGUGGGGUAGUGGCUUACCAAGGCUUGGACGGGUAGCCGGCCUGAGAGGGUGACCGGCCACAGUGGGACUGAGAUACGGCCCAGACGGCUACGGGAGGCAGCAGUGGGGAAUAUUGCACAAUGGGCGGAAGCCGGAUGCAGCAACGCCGCGUGCGGGAUGACGGCCUUCGGGUUGUAAACCGCUUUCGCCUGUGACGAAGCGUGAGUGACGGUAAUGGGGAAAGAAGCACCGGCGAACUACGU